AAAUUUUUUUUUUGUUUGCAGAUACCAGUCAUGUGCAAGAAAAGAUCUUACAGCUUUUUUUCCCUCAUUGAGUUGUACCUAAGCAAAAAGUAAUCUUGUCCAAAUAAAUUAAAUUAAAAAAACCAUUCAGAGCAUCACCGUUUACCUAAAAGAACAUGUUGAAAUGUUCCAGCAAGUGCCAGACAGAGACAAGGUUUGUACCACCACUCCGGCUCCAUUGUGAUUUCUAAGUUAAAGAGUUACGUGCCAGGGUCUCACUACAUAGCCCAGAUUGGCCUUGAACUUGAAGCCCUCUGGCCUCCCCUCCAGUGUCCUUGGAAUUACAGGUGUGUGCCACUAGACCACCUUGAUUUACAUUUUAAGAACACCACUCUGUGGUGUGUAUGGAAUGGAUUGUAAGAAGGUGAUAAUGGACAGAGGAAGACCUUUUGGAAUCCUCACACAGGACUCUCAGUGAGGGUUAGUAGUACUGAUGAAGGUGAAAGAAGAAAGAAAUUCUGGAAUAUGUGAUUUAUGGAGGGUAUGUGGAGGCACUGCUCCCUGGGUCCUUGCUGUUUCUUCACGUCUCUUGGAGAGACUAUGUUUUCUGGGUAAUAACCCCCUGCAGCGGAAACAAUCUUGGAAGAUGGAGGCCGUGUCUGCCCGGGGCCAAGGACAGGCAUGUUGAAGGACCUUUGUAAGACUUGUGUUCUUCAGUUCAAGAUUCCUUGUCAGUGAAAGUGUCAUGACCCUCUCUUUGCACUGUCCUGUGGGAACUGGAGCUUGAGGAUGUUACAGCUGAUACUCAGGCUGGAGCUGCUGAGGAAUAAACAAUGUCGUCUUCAACUCCAAGGUCUUUCUUCUGUCUUCUGCAUUCACAAAAUCGAGAACGCCCACCUUGGGAACUUGCAGGUGGUAGCUAAGACUGUUCAGAGUUCUUGGCAAGAACCUUAGACUCCCUGAUGGAGGGGGUGGUGAGUACGAGAACCCCAGGAAGACAUGAGACAUUGCAAGAGGUGAUUCCUGGUGACCCACAGAGGCCUGAGACAUGGGCCUGUUGUAAGCCAAGGUGAUUCAUAUAGAGAGAGUCGUCCACAAGCAGGAAACAUCAGAUCAUCGUCCCAGAAGCUUUUUAAUAAGAUGAGAUCCCAGUUGUUGGU